rnacentral:ncRNA from 1 species
UCAAGGGGUGCUUUUGCUGCACGGGCAGCAAGGGCUGAGAUGAUACCCUUAGAACCUGAUGCGGGUAAUGCCGCCGUAGGGAAAGG